rnacentral:rRNA from 1 species
AGAGUUUGAUCCUGGCUCAGGACGAACGCUGGCGGCGUGCUUAACACAUGCAAGUCGAACGAGGUCCAUCCGGUAGCAAUACCGGAGAAGACCUAGUGGCGAACGGGUGAGUAACACGUGAGCAACCUGCCCCGAAGACCGGGAUAACAGCGGGAAACCGCUGCUAAUACCGGAUGCCUUCACCGGGUCGCAUGACCCGG